rfam:Streptomyces sp. Mg1, complete genome.
UUUGACCGAGCCGAGGAGCAGGGGCCGGCCCUCGGGGCGGUCCUGGCCGUACGUCGCCAGCAGUGCCUGCGCCUC